AGAGUUUGAUCCUGGCUCAGGACGAACGCUUGCGGCGUGCCUAAGAAAUGCAAGUCGAGCGGGGUUUCACUCUGACCAAAGCUUCGGCAGAGGUCUUGUGAAAUCUAGCGGCGAACGGUCGCGUAACACGUAAGCAACCUGCCCCAAAGAUUGGGAUAACAACCCGAAAGGGUUGCUAAUACCGGAUGUGCAUGUUGGAUCGCAUGUUCUAACAUGUAAAGGAGCAAUCCGCUUUGGGAUGGGCUUGCGGCCUAUCAGCUAGUUGGUGAGGUAACGGCCCACCAAGGCGACGACGGGUAGCUGGCCUGAGAGGGUGGCCAGCCGGAUUGGGACUGAGAUACGGCCCAGACUCCUACGGGAGGCAGCAAUUAGGAAUCUUGCGCAAUGGGGGAAACCCUGACGCAGCGACGCCGCGUGAGUGAUGAAGUCUUUCGGGAUGUAAAGCUCUGUCCUACAGGGAAGAAACAAAUGACGGUACCUGUAGAGAAAGCCCCGGCUAACUACGUGCCAGCAGCCGCGGUAAUUC
rnacentral:rRNA from 1 species